UUUAUGGAGAGUUUGAUCCUGGCUCAGGAUGAACGCUGGCGGCGUGCUUAACACAUGCAAGUCGAACGAUGAAGCUGGAGCUUGCUCUGGUGGAUUAGUGGCGAAC
rnacentral:rRNA from 1 species